UACGUAGGGUGCGAGCGUUGUCCGGAAUUAUUGGGCGUAGAGGGCUCGUAGGCGGUUUGUCGCGUCGGGAGUGAAAACUCAGGGCUUAACCCUGAGCCUGCUUCCGAUACGGGCAGACUAGAGGGUAUGCAGGGGGAGAACGGAAUUCCUGGUGGUAGCGGUGAAAUGCGGCAGAAUAUCAGGAGGAACACCGGUGGCGAAGGGCG
rnacentral:rRNA from 1 species